rnacentral:rRNA from 1 species
GAUGAACGCUGGCGGCGUGCCUAAUACAUGCAAGUCGAGCGAACAGACGAGGAGCUUGCUCCUCUGACGUUAGCGGCGGACGGGUGAGUAACACGUGGAUAACCUACCUAUAAGACUGGGGUAACUUCGGGAAACCGGAGCUAAUACCGGAUAAUAUAUUGAACCGCAUGGUUCAAUAGUGAAAGACGGUUUUGCUGUCACUUAUAGAUGGAUCCGCGCCGCAUUAGCUAGUUGGUAAGGUAACGGCUUACCAAGGCGACGAUGCGUAGCCGACCUGAGAGGGUGAUCGGCCACACUGGAACUGAGACACGGUCCAGACUCCUACGGGAGGCAGCAGUAGGGAAUCUUCCGCAAUGGGCGAAGGCCUGACGGAGCAACGCCGCGUGAGUGAUGAAGGUCUUCGGAUCGUAAAACUCUGUUAUUAGGGAAGAACAAAUGUGUAAGUAACUAUGCACGUCUUGACGGUACCUAAUCAGAAAGCCACGGCUAACUACGUG